UGGGGGAUAUUGCACAAUGGGCGAAAGCCUGAUGCAGCGACGCCGCGUGGGGGAUGAAGGCUUUCGGGUUGUAAACCUCUUUCGCUAUCGAACAAGGCCCGCUUAGGGUGGGUUGAGGGUAGGUGGAGAAGAAGCGCCGGCUAACUACGUGCCAGCAGCCGCGGUAAUACGUAGGGCGCGAGCGUUGUCCGGAAUUAUUGGGCGUAAAGGGCUUGUAGGCGGCUUGUUGCGCCUGCUGUGAAAACGCGGGGCUUAACUUCGCGCGUGCAGUGGGUACGGGCAGGAUUAAGUGUGGUAGGGGUGACUGGAAUUCCAGGUGUAGCGGUGGAAUGCGCAGAUAUCUGGAGGAACACCGAUGGCGAAGGCAGGUCACUGGGCCAUUACUGACGCUGAGGAGCGAAAGCAUGGGUAGCGAACAGG
rnacentral:rRNA from 1 species